GCUUACGGCCAUACCACCCUGAGAACGCCCGAUCUCGUCCGAUCUCGGAAGCUAAGCAGGGUCGGGCCUGGUUAGUACUUGGAUGGGAGACCGCCUGGGAAUACCAGGUACAAUACAAA
ensembl:rRNA 5S_rRNA 5S ribosomal RNA